AUAAAAUCAAGAAAUUACACAAAGAGGAGACAUUUUAUAUAUAAAAUGUGCCAGGAACUUUAAUGUUUGUAAUUAAUAAAGUAAUUUCUCAGCAAUUCUUUAAAAUGACUUUUAUUCACGUCAUAUAACUCAAUGUAACAAGAUCACAGGGCAAUGUGAGAUUUCAAAACAUGCAGCUGGGAUUGAGGAACCAAAGGGGCGUCGUUUAUAACUCCUCCACUCUGAUAUGAGAAUGAACACCAGAUGACUUUAACCAAUAAGAUCUGUCCGUUCUCCGUAUUGAGAUCUUUGUCCAAAUCCAUUAACAGCUUCAAAUACAAGCACAGUUUUAUCUCAUCUUCCUCAACAUGUUGUCAUCUGCAUCAUUUUCUGCUGAAUGGUGUAUUUCUCACAUUAAACAGACACUAGAUGAGUCAGAUACAUGUUCCCUUUAAUACAUUGGAAAUAUCCUGCUGAAGUAUGUCGAGAUGAAACAGAUCAAUGGAUUCAGCCUUGGAUGGUUUAGGAGAAGAGUUAAUGUUUCUGAAUUCAACAGGUUUAAAAAAACAGUCACUGUCCUGUGGAGCUUAAAGAAAAUAUCAGGGAGUAAUUUAUGACUCGUGUCUUACAUCACUGAGGUAAUCGUCAUUAAGUGGUUUUGCAGUCUUGUCCUCACAUCUCACGGCCAUCAUGGCUCCAUGACUAUCCUGAGUUCGAUCAGACACAGAUCUGGGGUGGGUUGAUUGAAAGGAUGAUCAUUAAUACACUGAAUGAACAACUAGUUCUUAUGAACUUGGACACGUGGUUCAGGAUUGCUGUCUAGCUCAGUCGGUAGAGCAGGUAGAGCAGAUGUAGAAGUUAAGGUCCUCAGAGCAGCUCUCCUGGGUUUGUCUCCUGGUCUCACGUCGUUCACUGCAUGUCUUCUCCAUCUCUCUAUAUAUAGAUAAACAGGAAUAUUUCUACAAAAUCCUAAACAAAAAGUACAUUAGAUGAGUUUAGGAACUUUUGUUUUUUUCCAGGUUCUUCAACCAAUUGAUGAGUUCUUCCUGUUCAUGAACUACUUGUCAUUGGGACUGAUGCAAAAGGAUUUGGCCCACAGAUUUAGAAUACAUCGGUCAACUGUGCCACCAGUGAUAAAGAGAUCUUAAAGCAGUCUGGCAUUGUGGUCCUCCUUAAACCAUCUAUGGCCAUCAUGGUGGACAAGGGUUUCCUUGUGGAAGACUGUGUACCAGGCAAAGUCCAUAUACCCACGUUUCUGUCGAAGAGAGCUCAACUGUCUAGGUCAGAGAUCAGAAAGACACAGUCUAUUGCAAGACUGAGAGACCAUGUAGAGCGUGUGAUUCACAGAGUCAAAGAACAUAAAAUAUUCAGCACAGUGAUUCCUCUUUCAAUCACAGGCAGCAUAAAUCAACUUUUUGCUGUUGCCUGUCUUUUGGUGAAUUAUCAAGAUGGUCCUUUGGUGAAAGCCUGGGCAAGCAAUUGCUAAUCUCAAUCCAGGAUUAGAAAGAUGAUAAAAUAAUGUGUAUAGUUCUUAUCUGUGUAGAGACUUGCAUCUCUAACAUCAAAAAGAUCCCUUUAGGUCAUGCAUUGCACUGUAAAUAUAGUUUGUGUUAAGAUACAUUGGAAUUUCAUAACUUGUAUGAAAUGUUUUUACUUUAAUGUUAAAAUUGAGAUUACAUAAUACAACACUGUAUUUUUUGUACUUUUACUGAAUAUGUAAAAAUGAAAUGAUUACAGUAGUAAUAUUAUUGUCAGAAUAAAAUGAGAAAUGUUUUUUAA